rnacentral:rRNA from 1 species
UACGUAGGGACCAAGCGUUGUCCGGAAUCAUUGGGCGUAAAGAGCGUGUAGGCGGCCCGAUAAGUCCGCUGUGAAAGUCCAGGGCUCAACCCUGGAAUGCCGGUGGAUACUGUCGGGCUCGAAUCCGGAAGAGGUGAGUGGAAUUCCUGGUGUAGCGGUGAAAUGCGCAGAUAUCAGGAGGAACACCAAUGGCGAAGGCAGCUCACUGGGACGGUAUUGACGCUGAGACGCGAAAGCGUGGGGAGCAAACAGG